UACGUAGGGGGGCUAGCGUUGUCCGGAAUCAUUGGGCGUAAAGCGCGCGUAGGCGGCCCGGUAAGUCCGCUGUGAAAGUCCAGGGCUCAACCCCUGGAAAGCCAGUGGAUACUGUCGGGCUAGAGUCCGGAAGAGGCGAGUGGAAUUCCUGGUGUAGCGGUGGAAUGCGCAGAUAUCAGGAGGAACACCAACGGCGAAGGCAGCUCGCUGGGACGGUACUGACGCUAAGGCGCGAAAGCGUGGGGAGCAAACAGG
rnacentral:rRNA from 1 species